GCGUGGAGGAUGAAGGUCUUCGGAUUGUAAACUCCUGUUAGGGGGGACGAAGGGAUGUCGGUGAACAGCCGGCAAACUUGACGGUACCCCCAGAGGAAGCCCCGGCUAACUCUGUGCCAGCAGCCGCGGUAAUACAGAGGGGGCAAGCGUUAUUCGGAAUUAUUGGGCGUAAAGGGCGCGUAGGCGGCCUUGUAAGUCUUGGGUGAAAUCCCUCAGCUCAACUGAGGAACUGCCUCGGAUACUGCAAGGCUUGAGGCCGGGAGAGGGUAGUGGAAUUCCCAGUGUAGCGGUGAAAUGCGU
rnacentral:rRNA from 1 species